UACGAAGGGAGCGAGCGUUGUUCGGAAUCACUGGGCUUAAAGCGUGCGUAGGUGGAUUGGCAAGUCAGGCGUGAAAUCCCAGGGCUUAACCCUGGAACUGCUCUUGAGACUGCCUGUCUGGAAUUCGGAAGAGGUUGGUGGAACUCCCAGUGUAGAGUUGAAAUUCGCAGAUAUUGGGAAGAACACCGGUGGCGAAGGCGACCAACUGGUCCGACAUUGACACUGAGGCACGAAAGCGUGGGUAGCAAACAGG
rnacentral:rRNA from 1 species